rnacentral:lncRNA from 1 species
CAUAAAUGUUGCUGGCUUUAUCAUGUCUGUUAUUCUAAACUGAUGGAUGACUGGAGGAAUGUUUACUUUCUCAGGGGAUGGCGAAUGGCUCUUGCAGUUAGCUGGCUGAGCGUGUGAGCAGUACGUGUGAGCAAGAUCAUUGGUGUCUCCAGCAGUUAAGAGCACCAGAUCUGAAAUCCCCAGGGCAAUUUCUGUUCAUGGAUAAGCCGGAUAAGCCUGGACUUCCCAAGUGAUGUCACAGUGAGACUUGAGCUUCAAUAAUCAAGAACUUCAAGACCAAACCAGCAUUUCAAGAGAUUAUCAAGAAAAUAAAUGGCCCUCUGAAGUGUGGAGCCCAGGGCAGGGACCAGCCUUGCCUGAGUCUGAAAGAAAAUAUUGACUGGGUCAUUUGGAUUUUUCUUCUUACGAUUUUGGAAUUUAGAACUAAGGUUGUUGGGAGCUGAGCCAUGUUCAUAGCAGAGGAAUGGAACUUCCCUUUGUGGAAGUUCCUGGAUCUUCCAGAGCCUGGGGAGUUUUCCUCUUCCUUGGAUUCCAGGAGAUAUGAGAGGAGGAAGCUGUGCUGUGAAGGAUCCUUUUUCAUCAUGAUUAUUGCAUCUACAGGAGCAGUGAUAAAUUCUAAUAGAUAAUGCAACUCAGUCUACUUGGAUGUUCACCCCUGAGACUGGAGAAGACCUGCUGCCUUCUGCAGAGCCAAACAUUCCUCACAUGCUCCUUCACAAUGCUGCAAGCCAUAUUUAUUCAUUUAAAAGCUAGUUCCUCGCUGUUUCUUGUACAUUAAUUCUUUUAAAACUUUUACAAAACAAACUAAAUUUAAAGAGGAAAUUAUUUACUGUAGAACUAAUGGCCUGAAAAUAGUUGUCCAACAUAGCAUUGCACAUAGCAACAGGAAGUAGUUUAUGUACGAGGAAGUCUCUUUCAAACGUGCUUGGAUAUUGACAAAAUUCUCUGCCUUAUAAACGAAGGAGUUCUUUUUUAUAUAUUUUAGAGCCAAUGCAGCAAGAAUAGUCUUAUAUAGACUAUAAGCUCCUGGAACACUGUGUCUACAUUGCUCACUGCAGUGUCCCAACAUCUAAGACCAUGGUCUUAGAUGUCUGGUAUAGGACUGGUGCUCAGUAUGCACUGAAUGAAUAAAUGAAUGAAUAUAGCAAAGCAUUCCAUGAUGUUCUCUUGAAUUCAUUUAUUCUUUGAAAUUUGUUUCUUUGUUUGUUUGUUUUGGUGCAGUGGUUAUGUACUACUAGGAGUAUGAUAUGUGUUCUUCAAUAAAUCUCUUCAAAUUAUAAUAAAGAUUUAGUGCUAACCUUCUGCUCACUA